GAUGUUACAGGCACAAUUUCAUCAAACUAGAAUUCAUGGUAGUGCAUUGCAUGUUGAGUUAAAUUUGGCUAGAAUAUUGUUGAGUAAUUAUUUCAGCUGAAAGUUUGUUCGUGAUGCAGAUUGUGGGCAAUCAUGGAUAGGAGAUACAAUUGUUGUUUAGUAAUAUUCACUUAAUGGUAUGUUUCCCCUUUCACUGUUUUUGUAUACUAAGGAAAAUAUGUCAGUGACCUUCUGGUCUUGCUAGCAGAUGCUUCUUGAUUUGAGGACCAAGCACUUCAAUUGAUUCGUUUUCAAGUCCAUGUAGAUUACUCAUUUGAAUAACAAUAACAGUAUCUUCUACCAGGUUGUUUGAGCAUCUUCUAUCAGAUAGUGAAGCAUAGGUAUAUUCCAUGUUAGUUCCUGAUUCACGUUUUCCUCUUAUUGUUGUACUGUAGUUUUUAUGCAUUGCCACCUCCUUUGGUUGCCUUCCCUUUAUUUUGAAAAAUUUUCUGGACUCAUAUAUGUAUGUCCAUAUAUGCAGAACAUUUAUGCCUUAAACGGAUCUGAUUUCUCAAAAGUAAAAGUUCAUAUUUUGAUUGUAAAAUUAGUUUCCUAUUUUCAUGUGCAUGCAGAAAUUGCAGAGGUAUUCAGUUGAUCUCUUUAAGGUCAAUGAUAUUGUAAUCUGACUGGUACUUCCAUCAUCGUGCCUCCUACACUCUACGUGGCUGGAUAAAAUGACUGUCCCAGCUAUUUCCAUUACCUACUCUCAUGUAUUGUGCCUCCUUCUCCCCCAACUUGAAGUAUGUGAUUAUUUUCAGCCAAUUACUGACAUACUAUUAAGAUCAGUCCACAAUAGAGCUUAGACAUGUCAAACUCACCUUUAUAUGGUCUCUAAAUACUUCACAUAUAUUUUGGAAUUUCUUUUACGGAAUUAAGUGCUAAAUGCUCAGAACUAGCACUUUCAGGGAUUAUUAGGUUCUCUCUCUAAGUAUACAUAUACUAAUGGCCCUUGGUGGUAUAGCUUAAGAUUAAAAUAUGUUGAAAAUUUGUAGCUUCUAAAUGUAAUGUACUAACUUUAAAUUUGCACUUGAAUUAUUUUGUCAAGAAUUUUUGUGAUCCAUAUCUACACAAUAGCAGGUCGAUCGGUGGACACGGAAGGAAGAGAAGAGAAAAGGAGAAUAAAACCUCUCCUGGGCAUAAAACGUGAAAGAAUUGUUGAUGCUAUGCUCAAUUAUACUGUGCAUAUAUGCAUACUAGAAGAUUAACAAUCCAUUGAGAAGCUUAAGAUAAAGUUGUAAGACUAAUUGUUUCCCAUGCCCUGUACAAGUCUGACAGUUCUAUUCUUCUAUUUUUUGUUUGUUUGUCUACGAAAAGGUAGCUGCCCCUAAAAUUCACAUGAUGAUUUUAGAUCAUAAUUGGCCAGUUCAUUAUAAAUCCAAUCCAUCUAUUUCUUAUUGCAAAAUUCAAGUAUUAUGUUGCCUUAUGUUUAGAGACCAUCCUCAAAAGGGUUUACACGCUUCUGAAGUUCACACACAAUAAGGUGGUUAGAAGCAUUAGUGUCUCAUGCUUAGGGCUGCUGUAUUUAAAACUUCAUUUCAGAUUACUCAUGCUUGAAUAGUUGUGUGGAUGGUAACAGAGAUAAAAGUCCAGGUGACUUCAAAUACCAAAUCAAAGCCAUGGAGAACAUCAUAGACAAUGUUUAGCAGGUGAGGUUGAGGCAAAUAUUACCUUUCCCGGAGCGUAGGGUGAGGAGGCUGGGAGGAAGGAGACCAUGCAGCUAUUCCCGCAGAGCGCCGGCUUGGGUGGUGUGCAAGAUGCUCGCUCUUUUCCAAAGGAGUAAAACAGAAGCAACUUAAUCAUCCAUGUGCAUGGAUUCUAUAACAUAAAUUGAGAUCCAGAUGAAGAGCCGGUGGACGCGUGGCCACCGACGGAGAAUGUCGGUGAGGCGGUGGGGAUCUGGAGGAGACUGCCUAAAACACAGGAGAGGGUCGCCUGGCGAGCUGCCCGUGAGGCAUUGCUGUUACCGAAAUAGAGGACGCCGAGGAGAAACGAUAUCGGUAGCAGUUGGGGUCGAGAUCAGAAGCGGUCGCUCAACCCGGCUAGCUCUCGUAACGUGUUUCGUUUCCGGUGGGGACUGACCGAUAACAGUUUUGAGCUGUGCUGGGACUCAAUUACAAGAUACCUGUUUUCGGAGGAACUGAAUCAAACAUGAUUAAACGGUAAGUGGUAACGAUGUAAUGGACGAAAACACGAUUUCAGACGCGAACCAAAUACCUCCUUGGAGGAAAGAAAAAUGAGGAUAGGUUUUUACUAGGUUGUAUGCAUUGCAAGAAAUUUUAAAUGUAUUUUUGAAUAAGUUACUAUUCUUGCAAAAAAAACAUUGUCAGUGUAUAAAAAAAUUAGUAUGCUAUAUUUCUUUCCCGUUGCUUCACAUUCAGUGUCAUAUUGGACUUUUGUAAUUGAUUUAGACAAUGAAUUAGGACACUUAGGAAAUGAAAAUACCAAUAAUUGUCCUACGCAAAAGUGGCCAAUAUGGUGGAAAUUGCACGAUUGUGUGCUAUAGAAAAAGACACAUGCAUGUCGAAAAGGGUAUACAAGUAUUGUUGUUGGUCCUCAAAGGGUUAGUAAGAAGAUAAAAAUGUGUUUAAAAACUAUAAGUCACCAUAUUUGGGUACGCACAACAAAUUGAAUUCGCCUUUCAACAUAUUUUGUCUUUC